UACAGAGGGUGCAAGCGUUAAUCGGAAUUACUGGGCGUAAAGCGUGCGUAGACGGUUAUGUAAGUCAGGUGUGAAAGCCCCGGGCUCAACCUGGGAAUUGCAUUUGAGACUGCAUAGCUAGGGUGCGGAAGAGGGAAGCGGAAUUUCCGGUGUAGCGGUGAAAUGCGUAGAUAUCUGGAGGAACACCGGUGGCGAAGGCGGCAUCCUGGACCAACACUGACGCUGAGGAGCGAAAGCGUGGGGAGCGAACAGG
rnacentral:rRNA from 1 species